rnacentral:lncRNA from 1 species
GUAGACACACAGACACAUAAGCAUAGACAUAUACAAAACUCACAGCUUCCGUUCUGUAGCUUCAGCUGCAGGUUAAGAAUAAACAUAGAUACACAGAAACUCAGCAGUACAGACACCAAGGAGUUGUUCUCCUUUGCAGUGAUAUAAAAUUCUUAACUGAUUUGACCUCAGAUACACAAAAAGAGGCUAACUAAGCAAAUUUCCUGUCAUCUUUCACCCAGUAGAAAAUAAAUCUCUAUCAUUCAAUUACAGAGAUCACCAAAUUGCAUAAAACCAAUUUCUCAAUCAUUGCUGCCACCAAUAGGGAAUACUUAUCUGUCAGGCACGAACCCAAACAAAAACAAAGCACAAAAUCAACAGAAAGGGAAGAACUAGAGAAUGCAGAGUCGGCCAAAUUAAAGUUCUGCUGUCACCUGGGAUUAUUCCGGGAUCCAAGAAAAGACACACCUGGGCUUCCGUGACCCACGAGGCCACUGUCCACCAGGCAGCUCACUGGCCGUGCCAUUGAGCAUCUCGCUGGAUGACCACCAAACCGUGAAGGAUCUUUCUUUAAAAGGGACACUAAGCAAGCUGUCCUCGUCCUCAAGAUACAGGAGUGAAGAACGGAAACAAAGACCAAAUGAAACAAGUGUUAACAGGUGCUAUGAUGGACGUUUUUAGCAGAUACAGGGAAGGCCGUCAAAAGCAAGAGAUCAAGACCUUCUGAGUGUUUUCUCUAACAAUUGCUCCUUCCUCAGAUAGAGACCUCUAGCAACUAUAUUAGCAAUCUGUGACCCUACUCACUGGCCAUGCAUGAUUGACCCAGGGCUGGACACUCAGGCUGGGCCGAUCAGAUCUUUUCUUCUAAGACUUUGGAUUUGACAUUCUAAUCUAUCAUU